CCAGUUUCAAUGGCUCACACCUGUAAUCCCAGCUACUUAGGAGGCCGAGCAGUAGGGAUUGCUUGAGGCCAGAAGUUCAAGACCAGCCUAAGCAACAUAGCAAGACUCUGACUCUAAAAAUAAAAAAAUAAAAAAUAAAAAACCUCCCUUCAAGGAAAGCCUUACUUAAAUGAGUAAUAUGGUUGUAGUAUUAAUUAGAUAACAAGAUCCUUGAAAUCAUCAGGCAUAUAAAAUAGGGCUGUUCUAAUGUAGCACUGGGGCUUGCAAGUAUUCCUAAUUUAUCUAGGCAAUUGUAAUGACUGUUGAAAACUUUCUUUUUCCAUUUUACCUUUUGUGUUUCCUUGGCAUGGCAAAACCUGAUGUUUCAGCCAAGUGAUUUUAUAAGAUGUGUAUAAAAUCACAAACUUUUUCCCCUGGAAAAAAGUGUGUACUUUGUUUUAUUUGCAUUUUAAAAAUUGCAUGCUCUCUUGUAUUUUAUAACCUUUGGUUUAUGCAGGAAUAUGCUGAAUUUCAGUAUCGGAGGAGGCACAGACAACGUCGUCGAGGAGAUGUUCACAGUCUACUCAGUAAUCCUCCAGACCCUGAUGAGCCAAGUGAAAGCACUUUAGAUAUUCCAGAAGGCGGCAGCAGCAGCCGCAGGCCUGGCACAUCCGUGGUAAGUUCUGCAUCUAUGAGUGUGCUGCACAGCUCUUCCCUGCGUGACUACACCCCUGCCAGUCGCUC
rnacentral:lncRNA from 10 species